rnacentral:rRNA from 2 species
GUAGCGGUGGAAUGCGCAGAUAUCAGGAGGAACACCGAUGGCGAAGGCAGAUCUCUGGGCCGUAACUGACGCUGAGGAGCGAAAGGGUGGGGAGCAAACAGGCUUAGAUACCCUGGUAGUCCACCCCGUAAACGUUGGGAAACUAGUUGUGGGGACCAUUCCACGGUUUCCGUGACGCAGCUAACGCAUUAAGUUCCCCGCCUGGGGAGUACGGCCGCAAGGCUAAAACUCAAAGGAAUUGACGGGGACCCGCACAAGCGGCGGAGCAUGCGGAUUAAUUCGAUGCAACGCGAAGAACCUUACCAAGGCUUGACAUAUACGAGAACGGGCCAGAAAUGGUCAACUCUUUGGACACUCGUAAACAGGUGGUGCAUGGUUGUCGUCAGCUCGUGUCGUGAGAUGUUGGGUUAAGUCCCGCAACGAGCGCAACCCUCGUUCUAUGUUGCCAGCACGUAAUGGUGGGAACUCAUGGGAUACUGCCGGGGUCAACUCGGAGGAAGGUGGGGAUGACGUCAAAUCAUCAUGCCCCUUAUGUCUUGGGCUUCACGCAUGCUACAAUGGCCGGUACAAAGGGCUGCAAUACCGUGAGGUGGAGCGAAUCCCAAAAAGCCGGUCCCAGUUCGGAUUGAGGUCUGCAACUCGACCUCAUGAAGUCGGAGUCGCUAGUAAUCGCAGAUCAGCAACGCUGCGGUGAAUACGUUCCCGGGUCUUGUACACACCGCCCGUCAAGUCAUGAAAGU